GUGCUCACUCUGGCUGCACAUAUAUUAAAUUGGAAUGAUACAGAAAAGAUUAGUGUGGUCCCUGUGCAAAAAUGACACACAAAUUCAUGAAGUGUAAAAAAAAAUA